CUGCCCUAUGAGGAAUUAAAUGGCCGCGGUAUUUUGACCGUGCAAAGGUAGCAUAAUAAUUAGUUUUUUAAUUGAAAGCUGGAAUGAAUGAUUGAACGAGAAAAUAGCUGUCUCAAUUUAAUUUAAUUAGAAUUUUAUUUUUAAGUAAGAAAGCUUAAAUUUUGUUAAAAGACGAGAAGACCCUAUAGAGUUUUAUAAUUAGUUAAGUAUUAAUUUUUUAGAAGUAUUUUAUUAAUAUUUUAUUAAUUAUUUUAUUGGGGUGAUAGAAAAAUAUAAUUAACUUUUUUUUUAUUACAACAUUUAUUUAUGAUUUAAUGAUCCAUUAUUUAUGAUUAUAAGAUUAAGUUACCUUAGGGAUAACAGCGUAAUUUUUUUUUA
rnacentral:rRNA from 1 species